CAUAAUCAGGACACCCAGACCAGGGGAGCAGGGAGGUAAAUGGACACUGGCCUUCGUGGCCUGUGAGCCAGAGACCAGACAUCUUCAAGCAGGAUCAAGGUGGAGAUUAAGAGACCACUGGGGCUAGAGGGGGCUGGGCAACCAAAAGGGUGUCCCCAGGAAUAGAGCGAAGCGGAAUCAUCUCUGUGAUACUGAGUCUGGGGGAGGGGAUUGUCUUGCAGAAUGUAGCAAGGACAGCUUGGCCUUCAUCAUUUAGUUCCAAAAUAAUUCUUAUCCUGGGAUCAGUGAGCCUUUAAUAUUGCCUGGGAUCUGAAGAGGCUGCGCAAACAGAGAGCCUGGGGCCUCCAGGAAUCGUUCUUUGGGGAGGGUGGGAGGCACUGGUGGAUUCGACACCAAGGCUCUCAGAUGCACUAAGGAAAAUGGAGUUGGUAAGUCCAGAAGGCAGAAGAGGGUAGCAGCUGCCAAAUUACUAUACCGAACAAAUCAUUUCAUCUCUAGAACCUGGGUUUCCUCUUGAGAUGAUUAAACUGGAUGACUUAUAAGUUUCCAGCUUUAAAAUUCCUUAAAAUUCCAGAAGCACUAUUCAGUAGUGGAACAAUUUACUUGGAUAAGCAGUGAGUUCCCCAUCAAUGGUAGUAUUCAAGAAGAGUAAGAAUAGCCCCUUGUCUGGUAUGGCCCUAGAGAGAAUUCCUACAUUAGGUAGGAAAUUAAGAUUUGACUUUGAGUAAUAAAAACAAUAAUAAUAAUAUUAAUUAUUAUUGGUUAGGUAACAUGUGCCCAGCACUGUUCCAAGCAUUACACAUAUCUUAUCUCGGGUAUUAUUAGCAUUCCCAUUUUGCAGAGGACACUCAGACCAGAGAUCGCAAGUUGCUUCCCAGAGAUCUCACAUCUAGAAAGAGGCAGAGCCGAGAUGGAGAAAACACGUGGCUCUGACUCCCCGGCAUCUUAACCGCCACCCCUCAUUUUGCCUUCAGCCUCUGUGGCUGCUGGGAUAGGCAUGCCUUCCCCAGCCUGGGUUGUGAGUGUGAGGUGAUGCAGUGCCUCCCGCUGGAGUGGGGUGGAAUGGGGACGGUGGGCUUGCCAAAAAGGCUGCUUUCCCAGGCCUUGCUGGGGGGGAGAGCAGGAAGGAGCGGCCAUCAUGCUGGGAACCUCAGAUGGUCUGGGCCCCUCGCACCCACCACCUUCCUUCACAGAGGGGAAGAUAAUGCCCUGACGGGAAGCAGGUUACUGUGGGGGCUCACAUACGUCACUGACAGUCCCUCUGUUCUGAGAUCCAAAGAGACAUAUUUUCUCAUGAGGGCGCACGGAUCAACCACAGCAACCUGGGGAUUCACCAGCCUGAUGUUCACAUUCUGUCCUGAUGAGAAGAAGUUCCCACUCUGGAAGAAGCUGGUUUGGCUUUCAUUCAUGCAUUUGUUUCAGUAUUCUUUUACUUCUAUACACUUGUGCUUUUAAACUUCUCCUUUGAACCAAUUAUAAUCGGCCUUGUUCCCUUAUUGAAUCAGUGAAAUGAAAUAUUUUUUUUUUUAAGAUUUUAUUUAUUUAUUUGUCAGAGAGAGAGCGCGAGCGAAAGCGAGCACAGGCAGACAGAGUGGAAGGCAGAAUCAGAGGGAGAAGCAGGCUUCCCGCGGAGCAAGGAGCCCGAUGUGGGACUCGAUCCCAGGACGCUGGGAUCAUGACCUGAGCCGAAGGCAGCUGCUUAACCAACUGAGCCACCCAGGCGUCCCAGUGAAAUGAAAUCUUGAACACGUUUGUGUUAUACCUGUUUGUGAGACACCGUUUCCCCUUAAAAAAAAAAAAAAUGUAGGGGCGUUGGGUGGCUCAGUCAUUAAGCAUCUGCCUUUGGCUCAGGUCAUGGUCCCAGGGUGCUGGGAUCGAGCCCUGCGUUGGGCUCCCUGCUCCUAGGGAAGCCUGCUUCUCCCUCUCCCACUCCCCCUUCUUGUGUUCCUACUCAAUGUCUCUCUCUGUCAAAUAAAUAAAAUCUUUUGUAAAAAAGUAUCUUUUAGGGGUGCCUGGGUGGCUCAGUGGGUUAAAGCCUCUGCUUUCGGCUCAGGUCAUGAUCUCAGGGUCCUGGGAUCGAGCCCCGCAGUGGGCUCUCUGCUCAGCAGGGAGCCUGCUUCCUCCUCUCUCUCUGCCUGCCCCUCUGCCUACUUGUGAUCUCUGUCAAAUAAAUAAAUAAAAUCUUAAAAAAAAAAAGUAUCUUUUAAUAAUGCAUAAGACAGAAGCCCUGAUCAUUACAAUUCAUUACAAAAAUGGUAGCCUGGGGCAUUAGAGUUUAGUUCUUUCCCUAGUCGUCCUUGAGAACAUCUACAAGGCACCUGAAAGAUCAGUAACUGACAUUGACCUUUACUGAGGUAACCUGGCCCAUCCCAGCAAGGGGUAGCCUUGGGCAAGUCAAUUCCUUUUCCUACACCUCCCCACCCUUCUAGCUGGGUGGGCCUAAAAUAAUCCCUUCCCACCCUACACCCUCAGCUGGACCUGGAUCAAGGGUCCGGGCCCUGAACCCGGGUAAGUCUAGACCUCAGCGUGCAGCUUGGGCGGGGGCAGAAUGGAGUUGAUAAAGGUCAAUACCAAUUUGCAUGAUCUUUCAAUUACAGCUCACAGACUUUCUCCACUAGGAUUAAGAGAAUACAGUUGGAGUCAGUGCAGGUCAGCUCCCGGGCUGUGAUUAUUGAUAUUAUCAUUGUUAAUAUUCAACUUCUCCCCACCCCCAUUUAUCUCCCUAUACUCAGCAAUUUUCCCAUGUCCUUACAUCUCCUAUCUGGGAAGAUUCAGGACUGCAUGCAAGAAAGGGAGCAGAACUAAAAACAAAACAAAAAAAAA